rnacentral:rRNA from 1 species
AUACGGAGGGUGCUAGCGUUGUUCGGAAUCACUGGGCGUAAAGCGCGCGUAGGCGGUCCGUUAAGUCAUGCGUGAAAGCCCUCGGCUCACCCGAGGAAGUGCGUAUGAAACUGGCGAACUAGAGUGCGGGAGAGGGGGGUGGAAUUCCCAGUGUAGAGGUGAAAUUCGUAGAUAUUGGGAAGAACACCAGUGGCGAAGGCGGCCACCUGGCCCGGUACUGACGCUGAGGUGCGAAAGCGUGGGGAGCAAACAGGAUUAGAAACCCGGGUAGUCC